rnacentral:lncRNA from 1 species
CUCCAAAGCAUAACAUCACUUAUAUUAGUCUCAAACAUUUAAGAAACAUAGCCAAAUCAUCAACCAUAAUAUUUAAUCAAAGCAUGAAACCAUUCAUGUCAAAAUAAACAAGCCAUUUUAGCAUGGCUUAUUAUAUAUAUACACUUCAUUCAAAAUAUAUUCAAAAGGGGUAGUAUAGCCUAUACAUGCCAUAGAUUUUAAAUUUAACUUUUAUAGGUACCAGUGGACGGACGAUAGUGUGAUUGACUACGCUGACGAUCCUCGAGCCCAUAACUAGCUUCCAAAAUCUAUAAAACUGAAGGAAACAUAUAUACAUAAUAAGCUAUCAUAGCUUAGUAAGUCAUAAGCAAUUAAACAAUUCAAUGACGUUAAAAAUUCAAUAACAAGCCGAAUAAUGCAAUCAUAUUCAUAUAUACACAUUCGAGCUUGCAAAUCUUAUAUAUAUCAAAUAUAUAACUAUGAACCAAUUUCAGUUUGGCCGAAUAUACAUUAAGUAAUAACAUAGUUAUUUUUUUCGUAUUCAAAUCAUAUACCACACUUUACCGAAUGUACUCAUUCAUAUAUAAAUGCAUAUAAAACAUAGUUAUGGCUUCACACAUAUACUUACCCUUUGGCCGAAUAUAUAUAUAGGCUUUUUACACAUAUACAUACUUUUGUAUCCCAAUUGACAUGACCAACUAAAUUUGAUAGCAUAUAUUAAUUAAAUAUUACAUACUUAUACCGAUAUAUACAUCUGUGUCACAUUUAUCAUUCAUCAUAUCAGUACAAUUUGUACUAAAUAAUUUAUCGAAGCAUUAAUAAAGUUGCACCAUUAGUGCUCUUCUCUCACUUAACCAAAUUGAUCUCGGUUUCGCACACUUAGUGCCCGUUAUUUAACAUCAUUAUUUAAUUUCGCACACUUAGUGCUCAUUAUUCAACCUCAUCAUUUAAUUCGCACACUUAGUUCUAAUCAUAUAGCCGUAGCUAUUUCAUACUCGCACACUCAGUGCUAAAUAUCAACAAAUCACCUUCACAUCUAUCCCUGCUUCUCAAACAUAUACACAUUCGGCUACCACAUAUAUAUAUUUUGCAUAUUUCAAUUCAGCAUAUAUAAUUAAUAUUUAUCUAAAAUUUAUAACGUCUAUUUACUUAUGAACUUACCUCGGACAACGAUAAUCGAAACGGAACAAUUAGUCAACGACUUUAGUCUUCCCCCGAUCCAAGUCCGAUUUCUUUAAUUCUUGAUCAAAACACAUUCAAAUUGAACUCAUUCAAACAUAAUUUCAUUCAAUUUUUUCCAACAACACAUAAAUGGGAAAUUUACCAUUUUGCCCCUGAUAUUUAACAUUUUUACAAUUUAGUCCAAAUUGUACAAAACACAAAAUAUUCCAAAUUGACCACACUAUAUUUUGGCCGAAUAUUCCCUAGACUCAUAUAGGUCCUUGCAUGUCAUUUAUUUCACCUUUUAGUCCCUUAAUUAGAUAUUUUCUUACAAAUUAACCCAAAAUAAUCAAAUUCAUCAAAAAUUCAAGAACAAACAUUAUAAUCUAUCACACAUCUUUCAUAUUUCAUCAUCAACUAUUACCAAGCUCAAGUAUUCAUAAAUGGCAUGUCUCAAAAUCACCAUCAAAUUCUAAAAUUAAAGCAUGGGCUAAAUAUAACACGAAGCAACGAUCACAAAAACGUAAAAAUCAUCAAAAACUGAAACCAAACAUACCUUAAAUCAAGCUUCAAAGAUGGCCGAAUAGCUUGGUUGUUCUUCUUUUCUUUUCUUUUCUUAGUGUCGGU